rnacentral:rRNA from 1 species
AUUGAACGCUGGUGGCAGGCCUAACACAUGCAAGUUGAACGAGUGGCGGACGGGUGACUAAUGUCUUGGAAACUGCCUGAUUGAGGGUGAUAACUACUGGAAACGUUCGAUACUACCGCCUACCAUCGGAUGCGCCCAGAUGGGCGUAGCGAGUAGGUGGGGUUAAGGCUCACCUAGGCGACAGUCCCUAGCUGGUCUGAGAGGAUGACCUGCGAAACUGGAACUGUGUCACGGUGCAGACUCCUACGGGAGUCAGCAGGGGGGAAUAAUGCACGAUGGGCGAAGGCCUGAUGAAGGCAUGCCGCGUGUAUGAAGAAGGACUUCGGGUUGUAAAGUACUUUCAGCGGGGAGUCGUUACCCGCAGAAGAAGCACCGGCUAACUCCGUGUCAGCAGCCGCGGUAAUUC